rnacentral:piRNA from 1 species
UGAUAGUAAGGACACCUCCCUAGAGACCAG